UGGAUCUCAACAGAACGUGGAUUCAACAUCAGGAAGCAGCAACUUCACCCCACAACCCUCCUGACCAAUGAAUAAGCGUGUCAAGAUGAACCGGUACAGAACCACAGAAAUCUGGUCACCUUACAACAAAUGCAGUGCCGGUCCAAGGAUUGUGGUCCUGAAACUUCAGCCUGCGGAAACAUCCACUGGACUCCUGGGUGAAAGUCCGGUUUCUGGGCCACCCAUCCACCCCAACCACCUCCUUACUCUGACGUUCCAGUUAAAUAUCCUACGUUUAACGUUCAUAAAUGACGCUACAUGGCUUCCCCCAGGGCGUUACAAACCAACGCCAACGGGUUUUGACCAUGUGUCCAAACAUGUUGCCCUGACACAGACUUGAGACUUGCAGGACUCCAACGGACCUGAUCAGACUGGAGGUAGUUUCAAACCUGAUCAAGAGACUGAAUCACCAAACCACACCCCUCAUCACUGAUUGUCCAAUCACAGCUGAGCAACAGUAACUAGAGGAGUGUGUUUGUAAGCUGGUCUGGUGGUGCAGCGUUAUCCUUGUCCUGAUCUUUGGGAUCCUUUCCACUUCAGUAGUAACAGUAAAAGUGACGCAUCACUUUUCACAGUGUUUAACUGUGUUUUUUUUUUACAGUGUGCGACCUGUCAGAGAGAGGCCUCGAGGCUCGCAGCUCUCAUCAUUUAUACAACAAACACUGACUCACACGCUCCUCUGGGAGUCGUAGUCUUUCACAUCAAAGAUCCUCUACGUAGCAGCUGAGCGCCGACUGAACUUAACGAGCGAUGAAUGAGAAUCUUCUUCAAAGCAAAAGAGCAAACGGAGCGUUUAACCAUCAAACUCUGAGUUACAAGUUGCCCUGUGUAAAGUCUAACAGCUGCUGCCGCCGCAUGUAACGAUCAGUGGAUUAAUCAAUUAAUUAAUCAAAAUAAAACAAAACGAUCACAUUUUCUCUCUGUUUUCUACCUUUGAACUGAAUCUCUUUGGGUGUUGGACUGUCGGUCGGACACGAGACAUUUAAAGAAACUGGGACGGACGUUUAAAUAUAUGAAUCUGCAGAUGAAUCAAUAAUAAAAUAAGCAUUAGCUCCAGCCCUCCGUCCAGCCAGGAAGGAGGUCAGAGGUCAGUGCACCUGACAGGAGAGGAGCAUGUGAGUCUGGACCUGAUGAAGACGAUGAAGAUGAUGGUGGAGGAGGUUGUUGCUUCCUGUCUGGUAACGCUGAGCGUCUCUGACAGCAGCUGUCCGUCUGAAUCUCCGAGAGUCUGCAGACACACAGCGAGCAGCCCCCGAUGAUGUCACCGACACACAGCACAGCGUUUAAGAUGAUGUCAUCAGUGUGC